rnacentral:rRNA from 1 species
UUGUGGACAGUGUCUGGUGGGUAGUUUGACUGGGGCGGUCUCCUCCCAAAUAGUAACGGAGGAGCACGAAGGUUAGCUAAUCACGGUCGGACAUCGUGAGGUUAGUGCAAUGGCAUAAGCUAGCUUAACUGCGAGACAGACACGUCGAGCAGGUACGAAAGUAGGUCAUAGUGAUCCGGUGGUUCUGUAUGGAAGGGCCAUCGCUCAACGGAUAAAAGGUACUCCGGGGAUAACAGGCUGAUACCGCCCAAGAGUUCAUAUCGACGGCGGUGUUUGGCACCUCGAUGUCGGCUCAUCACAUCCUGGGGCUGAAGUCGGUCCCAAGGGUAUGGCUGUUCGCCAUUUAAAGUGGUACGCGAGCUGGGUUUAGAACGUCGUGAGACAGUUCGGUCCCUAUCUGGUGUGGGCGUUGGAUGAUUGAUGGGAGCUGCUCCUAGUACGAGAGGACCGGAGUGGACGAACCGCUGGUGUUCGGGUUGUCAUGCCAAUGGCAUUGCCCGGUAGCUACGUUCGGAACGGAUAACCGCUGAAAGCAUCUAAGCGGGAAGCCGGCCCA